rnacentral:ncRNA from 2 species
GGUCAUGAGUAUCAGCGUCAAGCCCCGGCUCGCUGAUCGGCAACCCUCCAACCGCGGUGGGGUGCUCCGGGUGAUGACCGGGUUGUGGGAUCGCGACGAGCAUCCCCGGCAAGCGCGGGUC